rnacentral:lncRNA from 1 species
ACUUGUGAAGGCUUCAUGCGCUUCUCGCACAUUCCAAGAUCAUAGCAAUAAACUCAUGUAGCAAAAAAAUUGUAAAUCAUAAACUUUGACGGAAUUCUAUUUUAGUAUUUAUGACGGAUUUAAAACGCUUUGAAUUUGAUACAACAUUCGAAAUACAAUACNNNNNNNNNNNNNNNNNNNNCAAACCCGGGGGGGGGGGGGGGGGAGGAGUCCAGAUCCACUAGAGAAUAAAGACCCCCAUAGGCUCAUAUUCGCUAGCGGAUAUGGACUCCCUGGUCUUGUGGUAUAUAUUUGCUAGCGGAUUUGGACCGGGGAGUCCAUUUUGAGAGGGGUCCAAAUCUGCAUACUGCAUGGGACACCGCGGCCUUGUCUUGAUAUUCCAUCACUGUUUUGAAAAAUGUUUUUAUCUGCAUAUUACUGUAUCUUUAAUUCUGUUGACAAUUUACCAGCAAUAACUUAAUACUAAUCAGAAUAGAACUUCAGCUCAAACAACAAAUAUAUAAACUUAUAAAGUUUGUAAACCGAGUCAACUUCUCAACGAAAGAAACUACCCAAAAAUUGACAGUAAAUAGUAAAUACUUUAUUUCGCUCCUUCAAGAUUAUAAGUCCUUUUAUUGUCCUCUGCAUCAGAUAGAACUUAAAUUGUGUAUAUUUUAGAAGUAGAAAGAAGCACAAUUUCUCGUUUAAAUUCCAUCCUGGGCAAUUUCUCGAUCGGUUGGUAUCGUAUAUCAAGCAAGUUUUUGCCUCACCAAAGUAGCUCUACUUACACUAUACUAUGCACGUGUCUAUCCUUAUUACAAUAUUGUGUAACAGUGUGGGGUUCAACCAUAUGGGUUCAACAUAUACCCUUACAAAUUAAAUAGUCUGUUAUUGC